AAAGCAGGAUGCAGCCAAGGAUGACUUGCCGGCCGGCGAUGGCCGCCGGCGACGGCGAGGUUAAUUGGUCUGUCUGUUGAUCCGGCAAGUUUGUCCUUGGCUACACCUUGCUCUCU
rnacentral:pre_miRNA from 1 species